rnacentral:lncRNA from 13 species
GGAGGAGGAGAAAGGGGCAGAGCCUACACCAAGCCCUGCCUAUCAGGCGGAGGUGGGCAGGGAUAGAGAGCCGGGAAGGUGGGAGCGAGUGAGGGAGAGGGAGAGCGCAUGAGAAAGAAAGAGGUAGACAGAGAUGCAGAAAUACAGUCAGUCUGCCUGUGCCGGUGACAUUGUGUGUGGCAGUGCUGCUGUACAGUGUGGUCCGUUAGGACCACUAACCCAUCAGGGACUACAGCACAACACAGUCUGGAUCCAGAACCACAACCAGACACCAUGUCAGGCUCCACUCCUGAGCCCGCUCCUCCGAGGGUCCACUCUAAAAAGGCUGGGAUCCGGGCUGCGGUGAUUCUAAUCGGACUCCUGCAAAAGUCGCGACGAGCGAAGGAGAGAGAGAGGGAGAAGGAGAGAGAGCGGAAGCAGGAACUGCUGACCAUCUCCAACGUGCCCUUGGGAGAUGGCCCCCCCUCGCCCCCCCGCACCGCCCCGCCCACCAUGAAGGUAGGACACGUAGCACCUUGUGCCCGUCUCACUCAUCGUACUAUUUUCAAACUACCAAGCCAAGCUGGCCUGGUUACCCAUCCACCAUAGUUGCUUGAACCAUGCUGGAUAGGACAGUGUGGAAAGUAAAUACCCAAGUGAGCAUGGUAUUGUUUGGCUUUGUGCAACAGUGUGAAAAACUGACAAUGGUGUCAGUGCACUGAACCUGUCUUUACCUGGCCAAUCAGAACACCUCUGAGAGGAACCACGGUAGCAUUUACAUGUAUUCUAUUAGUGUUGCAAUCAUCACAGGAAUAAGGCAGCUUAGUCAGUGGCAGACAGAACGUCACACUGACUGGGCCUGGGAGCAGACUCCUCUGUGUCCCAAAUGGCAUCCUAUUCCCUAUAUAGUCCACUACUUUUGACCAGAGCCUUGCCAAAAGUAGUGCACUAUAAAAGGAAUAGUGUGUAUGACGCAUAGCGAGUCAGCUCUGUGUGGCCUGGAUGGGCUUCAUUCAACUGUUCAUAGAGGGUAACUCUUUAGAGGUCAUUCUGAAGUGUAGAGAGAGGCAGAGAGAGCUGCCAGGUUCAAUAAGAUCCAACACUUGUCUUUCUGUGGACUAUUUUAAUGUAGGGGUUUAUUUCUAUACAGUAUAUAUAUAUCUGGUUAGACUGUAAACUCUCCUUCCAGACUCACAUUAAGCAUCUCUAAUCCAAAAUUACAUCUAGAAUCGGCUUCCUAUUUCGCAACAAAGCCUCCUUCACUCAUGCUGCCUAACAUACCCUCGUAAAACUGACUAUCCUACCGAUCCUUGACUUCAGCGAUGUCAUUUACAAAAUAGCCUCCAACACUCUCUUCAGCAAAUUGAAUGUAGUCUAUCACAGUGCCAUCCGUUUUGUCACCAAAGCCCCAUAUACCACCCACCACUGCGACCUGUAUGCUCUAGUCGGCUGGCCCUCGCUACCCAUUCGCCGCCAGACCCACUGGCUCCAGGUCAUUCAUAAGUCUUUGAUAGGUAAAGCCCCGCCUUAUCUCAGCUCACAGGUCACAAUAGCAGCACCCACGCAUAGCACGUGCUCCAGCAGGUAUAUUUCACUGGUCAUCCCCAAACCAACUCCUCUUUGGCUGCCUUUC